AAGAUUAAGUUUACCAUUAGCUAUGCAGAAAGUCUCUAAGUGGCUCCUGCCUUGGAAUCAGGUGUUGGGUCUCACUGCCACUGAGAGCCCGGGGGUGCCCAAGUGCACAGCAUGAACCAGGCAGAACAUAUCCCUCAGACAAGCAGAACAGUGCAGAGAUGUCAGCAUCAGUCUGUGCCCAUGGUCAGGCUCAGGCUUCUGUAGUUAAUUGUUCAAACAACAGCAACAAAUCAAGCUGCUCUGAGGAUCUAUGUGCAUUCCUCCAUUAGACCUGAUUUGUAUGGUGAGGACAGGCUACUGAAAGGAAGAGAAGGGGCUGAAUUAUCCCCCGUGACUUUGCUAAAUUUGUCCUUGUGAAUGGAGAGGGAGUGAAAUAUUUGUCUGCAGGGGGGAGCGGAGUGGUAACUGUCAGGAACAGCUGGAACAUAUAUACUGUGUCAUGUCUUUUUGUGGCACUGGGCUGUUCUGCUUGCUGAGGGAAUGCUGCAGAGGCAUGUUAGCAUUCUGCUGAGUAAGUGUGGUGCGAGUUCCAUGUGUAAACAGGGAUCAGUCGCCAGAUGAGAGAAAAGGGCUGUUCUCCCAGGGCCAUGACUGCCUCUUGCAUGCACCUCAACCUUCACCAGGCCUGUGUGGUGAUGUAAAUUAAAUGUGGGGCUGGAUUCUCAGAAGAAUAUCUGCUUGUGGAAAUGUCAGUCUAGAUAACUCUGGUGUCUCUUCCUCCUUCAAUAUCUAUAAAUUUGUGAAUGAAAUAAAUUCUCCUGAUUUUUCCCAU